AUUAGCUGUUAUAGCUUUAGAGUUUUAUGUGUUUGCCUUGUGCAUCACACCCAAUAUAUUUACUUCUUCCCAGAUUGCGUUGUUUGGCAACCCAGCUUCAACGGGAACCAAGCAACACUACAAGUUAUGCCUGAUGACUAUAGCAAGUUGGUACCACCCCUUCCCAUCCCGAACAGGACCGUGAAACGACUUCGCGCCAAUGAUAGUGCUGCAACCAGUGUGAAAGUAGGUCAUCGUCAGGC
rnacentral:rRNA from 1 species